rnacentral:ncRNA from 2 species
AAUAACAGUAACGUAUAUAGUGAUGCGAAGGCAUUGAAAAGGGAAUCUGGUGCGAAUCCAGGACAGCCCGCUCUACUGUGUGAUGGACGAUCGUCCCAUAAGCCACCCGGUCAGCCGGGGAAGGCGGGACUUGAGGAUGAGAUCGAGUCAGGAGACCUGCUAUAUAUAGAAGAUUCUU